AGCAGCCGCGGUAAUUCCAGCUCCAAUAGCGUAUAUUAAAGUUGUUGCAGUUAAAAAGCUCGUAGUUGAAUUUUGGAUUCUACCAAUUGGUCCAUCUUUGGAUGAGUACUGGUUGUGUGGGGUCUUACCGCCUGGUAAUACGUAAUGUCCUUUAUUGGAUGUUGCGGGUAGCCAGGACUUUUACCUUGAAAAAAUUAGAGUGUUUAAAGCAGGCUUAUGCCGGAAUACAUUAGCAUGGAAUGAUAGAAUAGGACGAAGUUGUUUUAUUUUGUUGGUUUCUAGGACAACCGUAAUGAUUAAUAGGGAUAGUUGGGGGCAUUAGUAUUCAAUUGUCAGAGGUGAAAUUCUUGGAUUUAUUGAAGACUAACUACUGCGAAAGCAUUUGCCAAGGAUGUUUUCAUUAAUCAAGAACGAAAGUUAGGGGAUCGAAGACGAUCAGAUACCGUCGUAGUCUUAACCAUAAACUAUGCCGACUAGGGAUCGGGCGAUGUUGUUUCCAUGACUCGCUCGGCACCUUAUG
rnacentral:misc_RNA from 1 species